UACGUAGGCAGCGAGCGUUGUUCGGAGUUAUUGGGCGUAAAGGGUGUGUAGGCGGUUGUUUAAGUUUGGUGUGAAAUCUCCCGGCUCAACUGGGAGGGUGCGCCGAAUACUGAAUGACUAGAGUGCGGGAGAGGAAAGUGGAAUUCCUGGUGUAGCGGUGAAAUGCGUAGAUAUCAGGAGGAACACCGGUGGUGUAGACGGCUUUCUGGACCGUAACUGACGCUGAGACACGAAAGCGUGGGUAGCAAACAGG
rnacentral:rRNA from 1 species